UACGUAGGGCGCAAGCGUUAUCCGGAAUUAUUGGGCGUAAAGAGCUUGUAGGCGGUUUGUCGCGUCUGCUGUGAAAUCUCAAGGCUCAACCUUGAGCUUGCAGUGGGUACGGGCAGACUAGAGUGCGGUAGGGGAGAUUGGAAUUCCUGGUGUAGCGGUGGAAUGCGCAGAUAUCAGGAGGAACACCGAUGGCGAAGGCAGGUCUCUGGGCAUUAACUGACGCUGAGGAGCGAAAGCGUGGGGAGCGAACAGG
rnacentral:rRNA from 1 species